rnacentral:rRNA from 1 species
UACGGGGGAGCAAGCGUUGUUCGGAUUUACUGGGCGUAAAGGCGCGGUAGGCGGCCACCGCAAGUCAGUUGUGAAAUCUCUGGCUUAACCCAGAAAGGUCAACUGAUACUGCGGGGCUAGAGUGCAGAAGGGGCAACUGGAAUUCUCGGUGUAGCGGUGAAAUGCGUAGAGAUCGGGAGGAACACCAGUGGCGAAGGCGGCUACCUGGACCAGCACUGACACUGAGGCACGAAAGCGUGGGAGCAAACAGGG